rnacentral:rRNA from 1 species
CAGUUAUCGUUUAUUUGAUAGUACCUUUCUACUUGGAUACCUGUGGUAAUUCUAGAGCUAAUACAUGCUAAAAACCUCAACUUCGGAAGGGGUGUAUUUAUUAGAUAAAAAACCAAUGCCCUUCGGGGCUCCUUGGUGAUUCAUAAUAACUUAACGAAUCGCAUGGCCUUGCGCCGGCGAUGGUUCAUUCAAAUUUCUGCCCUAUCAACUUUCGAUGGUAGGAUAGUGGCCUACCAUGGUUUCUACGGGUGAAAAAUAUCCGUUGCCCGUGGGCACGAUCGUUGGGGGGGGUCCCCUCGGCGACACCGCUGGCUCCGAAGACGUCCUUUUAGGGCCGAAUCGGGGGCGAGCUCCCACCCGGAGCCGCCCGAACGCAUGCAAAGCGGUGGGCUUCGUCCGGUUCGAUGCUUUCGGUACAUGCUACCGCCCGGCCACCGCGCCGGGCCGGAUAAAUGAACGGGGAAUUAGGGUUCUAUUCCGGAGAGGGAGCCUGAGAAACGGCUACCACAUCCAAGGAAGGCAGCAGGCGCGCAAAUUACCCAAUCCCGACACGGGGAGGUAGUGACAAUAAAUACUGAUACAGGGCUCUUUUGGGUCUUGUAAUUGGAAUGAGUACAAUUUAAAUCCCUUAACGAGGAACAAUUGGAGGGCAAGUCUGGUGCCAGCAGCCGCGGUAAUUCCAGCUCCAAUAGCGUAUAUUAAAGUUGUUGCAGUUAAAAAGCUCGUAGUUGAAACUUGGCCUUGGCUGACCGGUCCGCCUCACCGCGUGCACUGGUUCGGCCGGGGCUUUCCUUCUGGGGAUCCGCAUGGCCUUCAUUGGUUGUGUUGGGGAACCAGGACUUUUACUUUGAAAAAAUUAGAGUGUUCAAAGCAGGCCUAUGCUCGAAUACAUUAGCAUGGAAUAAUAGAAUAGGACGUGUGGUUCUAUUUUGUUGGUUUCUAGGACCGCCGUAAUGAUU